UGCAAUAACUUUAACGAUCUUUGUCCUUCGAAGCAACUUAGGUAUUCUGUACAAAAGAAACGAUUUCUUUGGUAUGGGGGAUGAUAAUGCAGCGAAAAAUCGAUAGGCAGCAGCUUUACUUCGCCGAGCAGGAAAUUUACUGAUCCAGACUCUUCUCGAUCAGCAAGUCUUAGAUCUUCAUCGACUGCUCAAGAUGGUAAUCUUGCCGAUCAUAGAGCUGCUCAAACGUGUCCAAUCGUCAACACUAGACAGCACAUUGGAAGAACAACAUCAGGCUUCGCCAUCUCAAGCUUCCACAUCAAGAUCAUCUUUUUCGAUAAGAGAGCAGGAGUUUAGGCGGUUGUUUGCACCGUAUAAUCGAGCUGACAAUGGAAAGAUGUUUUCUCAUCCACCAGCAAAACGUGGUCGAUCUAAUUCGUGGGGACAGCAAAGUCGGUGUUACAAAAAGCUGGUGUUGGACGUAGACGUAAUUCUUUCCAUAAAGUUUCAAGUGCAGCCAAAGUGAAGGCAAAAUUAGAAGAGAUCUAUCCCCGGCUGGUAUCAGGCGGUGGUUUUGAGAUAUUAAGGAGUGGUUUAUCACCCAAAGAUUUGUAUCUUAUUACCCCUCCACCAAAUACUGGAUAUUCUGUCCACUUUCUUUCGUGAUAGUUCUGGCCUAGGGCUGGCAAUUGCAUAUAUGAGACCAGUUCAAGCUGAUCUAGAUUCCUCAUCCUUGGAAAUGGAUGAUCACGCUAAUGCAGGAGAUGCUCCAGAAAACAAGGAUAUAUCUAUUGGACCAACAGUGAAAUGCUUAAAUUGCUCAGUGCAGAUUCCAAGAAUUCAAUCAGGAAUUAUAUGGUUGAAUGUGGAAUGGACAAUCAUCAUAAACAAUUUAAGAAGGUCAAGAUCAAUGCAAGUUUUUCUGGAACUCCAUUAAUGUCUGAACUGCAUGAAAUUAUUCCUGACCUUCAUGAUACUGCCAUGGAAGAAGCUGUAAGAGUUUGUGAGGUAGACAUUGAAGUGGCAGUUUCAUCAUUGUUGGAUCACAGCAAAGGAAUAUUACUUAAAGAGGAGAUGCCUAAUUAUGGUGCUGUUGAUAGCGCAGACUCAGAUUCAGAAAGUCUUCAACAGGCAACAGCAGUUCUUCUACCAGAAGAACAAAAGAAGACAGUCAUUGAAGAGUAUCAAGAUGCUACAAUUGUCAGUGACAGUCCAGUUUUUCGAGUUUAUGUCAACCGCAUGGCAAGUGACUUUGCCAAUGACAUUUUGGGAAUUUACAAGAAUCACAUUAUAAGUUGUGUGCUCAGUUCAGUGUGAAGUUUGAAAACGAAACUUCAGUUGACAGUGGUCCCUUACUGUAGGGGAUUUCCCCCCAAGAGUGCAGCACUGUAUCCAAUAAAAGAAACAUAAAUCGCUGUAGACGUUAAGAAAAUUUGCGGGCUCAGAAUACAAUUUUGCACGUGUCUUCUGUACACUUCAUUACAAGUGGCAAGUCGAUCUUUAGCUAUUAAAAUUUUUCACCCAAGAAAGAAUAUAUAUUUGAUACAACACAUCCAAGAACGAGCUGAUCAACGUUUUCAUCCUAAGUACAUGCUGUUUUGAUUUUAUUUGAAUAAACACAGAACUUGGGCAAGGAAUAAUUCAACAUGUAUAUUCACGUGUAACACGAUUUUGCGAUCAAUGGUUGACGGUUGACCCGUUUCAUUUCUUAUUCUUGGCGCAACUUUAGCAAGAAACGGUGUUUUGGAACAUGUACUGCUAUAUUGUAACGUGAUCAAAUUCAUAUCAUAAUGAAACAUAAUUGGGCGCAAUACAGAAAAAAACUGGACUGCUGCUAAUAGAGCUUUAAGAUGCAUUGAUGCAAUGCCUAAUGAUGAUGGCUGUAGUAAUAUGUAAAGGACAAUGAAUUCCCAUAGAAUGUUUUGUGUUGCUAUUGGCCGAGGACAAAUGUCUUAGCUAGAGUAAAGAAGCUGGAAUUGCCAGACAAAAAUGAUUGGAAAAAACAUAAAGUCAUAAUAUUCACAUUUGCAGUUCUCAAAAGUUCUCUAGAAGAGCCAUUGCCACUUCAAACAUUGAAUCAGAUGAUGAGUCAUUCAACGACAAGCCACGAAAACGUCCUCGUUUCAAAAGUAGUAUGGAAGAAUUUCCAGAUUACAGUGACAUAGAAAACGAUGAUGACAGUGAUGAACCCGUAAUUCAACACAGAGCCCUCAGUUACCUCCUGCUGCACGUUGCACAUCUUUUUGUAUGAACAAUAAGCAUUUAUUGGAAUCUUCUGAAAGUAAUAUGAUAACAGCCGUCAAUGAACUCUUAUCAACAAAUUCUAGAACGACUUGAUCUCCCUUGCAGAAAAGAUACAAGAACGUCUCUUCACAAGGAAUUCUUACAACUGGCACAACAAGAGAAAGACAUUCUCAACGAAACAGUGGUGUCUUAG